ACUUAAGUAAUUUAAUUUAAAAAUACUGAUUUGUGGUAUCAGUUAUAUAUUAUGUACAAUAUCUUAAGUU
rnacentral:tRNA from 1 species